AGGAGAUCAGGCCACAGCUCCUCUGUGCCUCUUUGAACUGCCUGGGGACAAAAGAGGGGACUUCAAACUUAUCUGGCUGGCCUAGACACGGAAGUCCUUCAGAGGCAGGGUCACCAUGAAGGACCCUUGACUCACAGCCUCACCCUGGGCUUCCCAAAGCCUAUAGGAUAAGAGGUGAUAGGCAAGGGCUCUGACGAGAAGGCACCCAUGAAGCUCAAGUCAGCAGGGGAAAGGCUGAGAAACGUGCCUGCAGGCUUGUCACAGCUGAGACCUCACAGUCGCCAAGGACAUGUGCAGACGGCGGGGAUCCUCCUCUGCUGUGCCCACCCAAGGACAGCCAGCUCUUCAGCAAAUGGAGCCUUCUGCUGAUAGCCAUUAUGACUGAUUAACCCUUCCUAGACCACAAGCGUGUUCACUUGUUAGAGCGUGGCCUCAGCCCCUGCUGGGCAGCACUGUGACGACUUGCAGCUGGUUCCACAGCGGGUGUGGGUUGGAAUCCUGAUAGCCUGGUGUCAAAUCUUUUACUUAGGACCUUAACUAAAACUGUAACUUACUACA